rnacentral:rRNA from 1 species
GGUCUUUUGUUGAUAUAAAAGAUUUGACCUGCCCAAUGAUUUAUUUAAAUGGCUGCAGUAUUUUGACUGUACAAAGGUAGCAUAAUCAUUUGUCUUUUUAUUGAAGGCUGGUAUGAAUGGUUGGAUGAAAAAUAGUCUUUCUUUGCUUUAUAUAUUGAAUUUGAUUUUUUAGUCAAAAAGCUGAGAUGUUUUUGUAGGACGAGAAGACCCUAUAGAACUUUAUUUUUGUAAAUUAUGGUUUUUUUGGUUUAUAAAAUUUUUAUAUUUUUGUUAAAUUUUGUUGGGGUGAUGGAAAAAAUUAUAUAACUUUUUCUUUUUUUUACAUUUAUUUAUGUUUUUUUGAUCUUUUAUUAAGGAAAAUAAGAUUAAGUUACCUUAGGGAUAACAGCGUUAUUUUUUUGGAGAGUUCAUAUCGAUGAAAAAGUUUGCGACCUCGAUGUUGGAUUAAAAUAAGUGACAGGAGUAGAAUAUUGUUUUUCUGGGUCUGUUCGACCCUUAAAUUUUUACA